GUUUUUGUACAACAUAUCCGGAUUUCGACAAUUAAUGUCUCUUCAGUGAUGUUAGGAAUCGAAACGGUAUUUGGAAAGCCAUACAAUUUACCUCAAUUUGGGAUAGACUCUUGAAUUUUGAGGAGUCAAAAUAGGAUGAACGGAUCAUAUAAACCCGAAGGCAAAUAUAAUACAAGCCCAAACGAAAAAAUAUAAACAGUCUAAAUUGAAAACAACGUUCAAACCUAUGAUUGCGUUGGAUAAAAACCGCAAUUUUUAUACAUGUGCAUGCAAAACAAAUUUCUUGUUAGAGGGGUCUAAAUACAGCACAAACAACAUUUUCCAAAAGACCAAAAAAGUGAAAAAGUAUAUUUUAACAAAACGCAUUUGACUAACAGGUCGAACAACAAAUGUUCUUAAACCCUGCUGACUGCCAUUGGCGAUUGCCAAAUAAACGGAUCACCGAUGUAAUAAAUGGAUCUUAAUUAUAAAUUAAAUACUAAACAAAAAACAAUAAACUUGCGGAAAAGAUGGUAUACCGCAAACAAAAGGUGCAAAGGUUUUUGUACACCAUAUCCGGAUUUCGACAAUUAAUGUCUCUUCAGUGAUGUUAGGAAUCGAAACGGUAUUUGGAAAGCCAUACAAUUUACCUCAAUUUGGGAUAGACUCUUGAAUUUUGAGGAGUCAA